GCUUACGGCCACACCGGCCUGAGUACGCCUGAUCUCGUCCGAUCUCGGAAGCUAAGCAGGGUCGCGCCUGGUUAGUACUUGGAUGGGAGACCGCCUGGGAAUACCAGGUGCUGUAAGCU
rnacentral:rRNA from 1 species